GACUCCAUGAAGCUGGAUUCGCUAGUAAUCGCGCAUCAGCCACGGCGCGGUGAAUACGUUCCCGGGCCUUGUACACACCGCCCGUCAAGCCAUGGGAGCCGGGGGUGCCUGAAGGCCGUGACCGCGAGGAGCGGCCUAGGGUAAAACUGGUGACUGGGGCUAAGUCGUAACAAGGUAGC
rnacentral:rRNA from 1 species